rnacentral:lncRNA from 1 species
GCGGACCUGGUAGAUGUGCGACUCGGUGGUAGCGUCCACCGGGUGACCAGCGCGUGGGAUGAGCACCUUCUCCGCCACCUGUCGGCGAGAAACGGAACCAAUGAUUAGGUGCCGAAUACUGCGGGAGUAUCAAAUGUCCAUCUUAUCACGACUGUAAAUAUGUCAACGGCUUAUGGGCCUGCGUUUCCAUCUGUCAGCGUCACGACGCUUUUACUUUGAAGUGUAAGGCGCGCAGCUUCUGCCUUCCUUGUAAGGAGAGUCCUGGCCUAUGUUGUCGCGGCUUCGGGUGGCAGGAAACCAUGGACGAGUAUACCUGUUCGAAGUGGUGCCCGCCGGGUCGGUCUUGCAGGUCCAGCGACUGUCCGAAAUAUUACCGGGGAUUCUGCUGCCGUGCCUGAGAUCAUGCCCUGACCAUCCCCGUCUCGCUGGACCGGUGGAUGACCUGCCUUGUGACAAAAAAAGAAGAAGUAGGAGACGGCCUGGUUAACUAACCAAAUCAUCGUAAUGCCUUUAAAACUUAGCGUUUUCUUACUAUUUCGGCUGUUAUGUCUUGUUACGUUAGUAUUAAAUCAUUAAUUUUGCUAUCCAUAUGUCUAAAAGGGAGAAAUGAAAGUGCGGCCCCAAUAAAUUGGAUCAACGUG